CACCGCGGUUAAACGUGUGGCCCAAGUUGACAGACACCGGCGUAAAGGGUGGUCAAGGAAAAACUAACUAAAGCCGAACAUCCCCCCUGCUGUUGCACGCACCUGGGAGAAUGAAGCUCAAUCACGAAAGUGGCUUUACCCCCCCCCCAACCCACGACAGCUAAGAAA
rnacentral:rRNA from 1 species